UCCAGGCAUGGUGGCGCAUGUCUGUAAUCUCAGCAGCUUGGGAGGCUGAGACAGGAUGAUUGUGAGUUCAAAGCCGGUCUCAGCAAUGUCAAGCGCUAAGCAACUCACUGAGACCCUGUCUCUA
rnacentral:sRNA from 1 species